CGAACGCUGGCGGCGUGCCUAACACAUGCAAGUCGAACGGAGUGAUAGAAGCUUAGCUUCUGGAACUUAGUGGCGGACGGGUGAGUAACACGUGAGUAACCUGCCUUUCAGAGGGGAAUAAUGUUUGGAAACGGACACUAAUACCGCAUAACAUAUUUGAAUCGCAUGAUUGAGAUAUCAAAGGAGCAAUCCGCUGAAAGAUGGACUCGCGUCUGAUUAGCCAGUUGGCGGGGUAACGGCCCACCAAAGCGACGAUCAGUAGCCGGACUGAGAGGUUGAACGGCCACAUUGGGACUGAGACACGGCCCAGACUCCUACGGGAGGCAGCAGUGGGGGAUAUUGCACAAUGGGCGCAAGCCUGAUGCAGCAACGCCGCGUGCAGGAAGACGGUCUUUCCGGAUCGUAAAACUCUGUUGUCAGAGAAGAACAAGUUGGAGAGUAACUGCUCCAGCCUUGACGGUAUCUGACCAGAAAGCCACGGCUAACUACGUGCCAGCCGCUGC
rnacentral:rRNA from 1 species